rnacentral:misc_RNA from 1 species
UCCUCAUGCCACCCCACCCCACCCCUCCUCCAUCGGCCUCUCUGUGUCUGCGUGUGUGCUCAGUCGCGCGCAGAACGGAGAUGAACCUCCCCCAAUACACACACACACACACACACAUGUUUACUGAGUGCAUAGUCUGUUGCUGACGUGCGCCCUACGGAGCGUGCAGUCGUCUGCGUGCGCGCGAGCGUCAGCGGCUGUCAACCAUGCCUGCGUCGUCUCAACAGGCAGGCCGGCAGCGCCACCGGAGCUUGCAGGACGGACUGGUGCGCGACAGCAACGGCCGGCGGGACGUGGCCAUUCACCGGAUCUACUCCUCCGACUACCACGCACCGACGUGUGCUGGGCUGCCGCAUCGUCGUAUGUGUUCUCGCCCUCGUCGUCUUUGUGCUGGACGUAGUAGGACAGCAAGUCACCUACCGCCGGGCCACCGGCAUGAAAGCGGUCACCUACCGCUCGGUGUGGCAGAUCAAGAAGACGAGGUGCACAUGGGAGAACGACAGAGCCACGGCAGGAGAACACCGGAGGGGCGGUUCUGGCCAACCCCCGCUGUCGUCAUCGGCUUCAACCCUUUUCUCUUCGCAGCCGUUUACACCCUCGUAUUGGACUCGCGACGAGCGACCAGCGCCAGUCGGGGUGCUGGCGCGCUGCAACCUGCUGCCUAAGCACGGCGCGGAGAGAGAGAGGGCAACGCGCUGCACAACGGCGGCGAGCAUGGCCGCGACAGCAGCAACACCGAGUCUGGCUCCUUUCCGUACGCCAACUCGCACAUCUCAAACAACGGACCAGUGAAGGAGGUGCCCCUCACGAGACCCGCGAGGCGCGGCGGCGCAAGCUGGAUGGAGAUCUGGUCAUUUUCGACUCUCACCAUGCUUAUCUGUGCUGCCGUAUGUGCCCUGGUGACCGGCAUCAUGGCGGCCUCGUACAACAACAGCGAGGUUAACGAGGGCGACGGCACGACACGCCUCACCGCCGGCUUUGCCUUAUUCACUGUGGUCAUGGUUAUCGCCCUCGUCACGUUCAUCGCGCUGGGUGGCCCAACCGAGGCACGGCUGCACCUCAGCUGCCCUCCCGCGGUGGAGGAGAGUCGGCUAACGGUGCUGCGUGGGGGUUCGGAUGAAGAGGAGGCGCAGAUGGCAACGCAGGUGCCGCGGGCAAUGGUAGAGAUCGCGCCGCGACAGAGAAAUGGUGCCGAGGCGAAAGGCAAGGGACGCUGAUCAGCAGCAGGCCCCACCCAGCAGCCCCUAUUACAUGGACUAUGCUGAUUCCCAAGUCGCACAGGAGCACAUCGGCGCUGGUGACACCGGUGGCAUGAAUGUGGCGCAGGACAUCCUGAUCGCGACGCCCGGCCGCCUCCCGCGGCUAUCUCGCAAGCGAAUGGCCGCUACCACUAGGUGUCCGCACAGCAGGCCCCUCUUCCUCCGCCCAAGAGAGAGAGCGAGUACACAGCCGACGCCUGCUACCAGCCCCCGCCGCAGCUCUCCCACGUCAGCGAGAAUCCAGAGACGCUGGAUAAGCUCAACAGAAGAGAGGGAAAUGGGGGGGGGGGAGGAACACGCGUCCUCUUCUCCAUCUUCUCGUCUGCGCACGCGCUGGCGUCUGCUUUCGUAUGCGUGUGUGACAGGCGGUUCUUUGCGCGUCUUUCGCGACCCUUCCGAGCACAGGCACGCACAACUCGUGAGAGGGGAUGCCCCGCCGCUGCGAUCGGCGGUGCACUUCUGCCUUCUCCCUUUCACAUUUCUGUCGAGCUCGUGUGCCACUGAGGGGCGGAGCAGCAGCAGCAGCAGCAGGCGCUACAUUUGGAGCGCGUGCGCGUGCCGUAGGACUUCGGCGUGUUCUCUCACCUGCUCGGUGCGUCUCUCGCUCUCCUUCGCCUUGACGCCUUUCUUCUCCGUUUGGUUAACUGGCUUCACUCCCUUGUGUGUGUGUGUUUCUCUCUCCUCUCGAAG